rnacentral:rRNA from 1 species
AUUGAACGCUGGCGGCAGGCUUAACACAUGCAAGUCGAGCGGAGAUGAGGUGCUUGCACCUUAUCUUAGCGGCGGACGGGUGAGUAAUGCUUAGGAAUCUGCCUAUUAGUGGGGGACAACAUUCCGAAAGGAAUGCUAAUACCGCAUACGUCCUACGAGAGAAAGCAGGGGAUCUUCGGACCUUGCGCUACUAGAUGAGCCUAAGUCGGAUUAGCUAGUUGGUGGGGUAAAGGCCUACCAAGGCGACGACCUGUAGCGGGUCUGAGAGGCUGAUCCGCCACACUGGGACUGAGACACGGCCCAGACUCCUACGGGAGGCAGCAGUGGGGAAUAUUGGACAAUGGGGGGAACCCUGAUCCAGCCAUGCCGCGUGUGUGAAGAAGGCCUUAUGGUUGUAAAGCACUUUAAGCGAGGAGGAGGCUACUGAGACUAAUACUCUUGGGUAGUGGACGUUACUCGCAGAAUAAGCACCGGCUAACUCUGUGCCAGCAGCCGCGGUAAAAC